AUGUAUUGCUUCCCUUCGGCAUUGUCUUUUCAUGGGAGUAAAACAGUGGUACACUGGUUACUGCCUGAAAAACCUGUUAAUAAUGUUUGUUAUCACAAACUAAAUUUGAUGGGCCAUUUUUUUUUCAGAUCACUGGGAAAGAGCUUUGGCCUGACAAGGAGGAACCUGCUGCUUCUGAUUGUGGCUAACUCAUCCUGUAAGUUUACAGUUCAUUAUUUGGCGCCAGUACUCGGUGCAGCUGUUGAGGCACCGCAGGUGGCCGCCCGCUCUGUGGCCCCAGCGGCCGCGGCCCGGCAGGUCCCGUCAGCCCCGAGGGGGCUGGUAAGUCGCCAGGAAGAUUAAAGCUACCGGACCAAACCGACUUAAGGUCACUUUGAGCCAGGUGCAGUUAGCGCAGCGCCGAGAACGUUUACUUGAGAGUUGUAGCUAGGGAAACGAGAAGGUGGACAGGGGAAAAAUACGCCCAGGCACCCUGAGGCCUCCCCCAGCCGCAGGCACAGACUGUGGGCCCCAGCCAACGCAGGCACCAACUGACUGAAACCCCCACUGAGCCUCACUGAGCCCUGCGCCCUCCUGCACAGCUGCCCCAAAGCCGUGGGGUUCCCCAGUCCAGUGUGUGUGGAUGGAUCCUCCGUUGCCUCUGACAUCUCCCCAGGCAUGCGUAUGCUGCACAGGGGUGUGGGUGUCUCCAGCAGUGGCACAGCAGCCUGAUGCCUCUUGUCUGACAGCUCUUCUGGGAUAUGGGGCUCUUGAUGAGGUCCCUGUCGCCUUUUCGGGCAUUCCCUAUGAGCUCGUAGAUCCCUCUUCCUCCUCCCCUCUGGUGGGGGGCGAGACCAGUGGCUCCUCCUGCAAAGCUGACAGCCACAUGCAGCACUGCUAGGCACUCAGUACACAUCUGGGGUGGCACCCCCGCCCUGAGGGCCCUGCAGAUUCCCAACCUUCCUGCAACCAGCUCCCCCAACGCCGGGAAACCACCCACAAAUCCUGUCCUAACACCCCCACAGACCCCAAAAUACAAGACACCAAAUUAUUAUCUUAGGUGAAUGAUAGUCAAGUGACCAGAGUUACCGAAGAGGAAGCGAGAGACACAAGUGUCUGAAUUGUAAAAUUAAGAGAGGAAUUUCAGGAAGGCUCAAUUGGUUGCAACCCCAUGUUAAUUACAUGGAAGUUGUGUUUGGGAAAACGGGAAGACAGGUAGAGGGAAGAAAGGUUAAAGCUUUGCAGAAUCAAGGCUCCUUCUCAUCAGUUCCAACUUAAAGCAAUUUCAGGAGGACUUAAAUUCUUACAGCGGUGUUAAUGUAGCUUUGGUGGUAUUUGAUGGCUUUUUGUGGAGGACAAGCUG
rnacentral:lncRNA from 1 species